rnacentral:rRNA from 1 species
CCCUUAGAUGUCCUGGGCUGCACGCGCGCUACACUGAUGUGUCCAGUAAGCACCUAACCUCUUCCGAAAGGAACGGGUAACCUUUGCAAAGCACAUCGUGAUGGGGAUAGAUUAUUGCAAUUAUUAGUCUUGAACGAGGAAUUCCUAGUAAGCACAAGUCAUCAGCUUGUGUUGAUUACGUCCCUGCCCUUUGUACACACCGCCCGUCGCUCCUGCCGAUUGAAUGUUCCGGUGAGCUCUUCGGACUGCGCGGUCUGCAGUUUCUGCGUUCCGUGCGGAAAGUUGCGCAAACCUUAACAUUUAGAGGAAGGAGAAGUCGUAACG